rnacentral:rRNA from 1 species
AUUGAACGCUGGCGGCAUGCCUUACACAUGCAAGUCGAACGGCAGCACGGGUGCUUGCACCUGGUGGCGAGUGGCGAACGGGUGAGUAAUACAUCGGAACAUGUCCUGUAGUGGGGGAUAGCCCGGCGAAAGCCGGAUUAAUACCGCAUACGAUCUACGGAUGAAAGCGGGGGACCUUCGGGCCUCGCGCUAUAGGGUUGGCCGAUGGCUGAUUAGCUAGUUGGUGGGGUAAAGGCCUACCAAGGCGACGAUCAGUAGCUGGUCUGAGAGGACGACCAGCCACACUGGGAAUGAGACACGGCCCAGACUCCUAAGGGAGGCAGCAGUGGGGAAUUUUGGACAAUGGGCGAAAGCCUGAUCCAGCAAUGACGCGUGUGUGAAGAAGGCCUUCGGGUUGUAAAGCACUUUUGUCCGGAAAGAAAUCCUUGGCCCUAAUACGGUCGGGGGAUGACGGUACCGGAAGAAUAAGCACCGGCUAACUACGUG